UUGUUUUCGUCAUUUCGACCAUUUACUUUUAUCGUCAGCCAUAUUCACAUUCCGAUGAGAAAAACACGUCUCCUACAUAGAAAAGUUUCUCUUUGUAAUUUACUCGCUCGUGAAUUUCGUACAAUUCCAUACAAUUCGAAACUCCGCAAUUGCGAAACAAUCCAACAACUAUUCGCGUAAUUGAAUGUGACUGGCAUCACAUUCACAGUAUUCCAUUAACCCACUUUUAUUCAAUUGAAUAAUAUCGACAUUUUUCAUAUUGAAAUCAUAAAAUAUUCAUGCAUGUAAAUACGUAAACAAAGAUAUCGCAUUUGCAAUAUAAUAAUGGGAUUGUAAACUCGGAUAUGAAUUUACCGGCACCCUGGCAAACUAAAUUAAUUAAAUUUAAAUGGAAUAAUGGCAGUGCAUUAGGAAACUUCAUCACACACCCCAACAAUUGAUUGGAAUUGGAAUUUGGUGCGCAUGAAGAAUAUUCAUAUUGAGAUCGUAAUCGGAAAAUCGAAGAUCUGCGCGAUGUGGGUUUGGGUUCUAUGGUCGCUGAUGCCUUGGGGGGUUGUGAGAUGGUUUACGGUGUACAUCCUAACGCGAAGUUGUGUCGUACGCCGCUAAUGGCGGUAAUGAAUUAUUAAUUUCCGCCCUUCCAGCACGCUACUAUCACCUACUAAUUCAUUCCGUCGGUUGGAUGAGAAGAGUUUCGGUGUUGUUGCUCUUAACACGGCUGUAGCGAAACCAAAAUGGCUUUAUUUUGAUGAUUAAUGAUCUUGAUUAAUCUCUGCUUACAUAAUGAUACCUGCAGUAUGAUGAAAUAUACAAGGGAGGAUAAUGCAUAUUGUGACCGCGUCUUCAUUUAAAUACGAAGCAGAGAAUGCAAAACGCAUCCCGCGUCUCUUGUCGACAUCUUUGUGCGGAGAAUGAGAGAUGAAAUGAAACGAAAUGAAACAAUGAGACGACGCCGACCCAACGCAGAGUCUGUCAGUUAGACGAAAUGAGAGAAUGCGAAUUUUUCACCCUCAAGGAACAAAAACUUGAAUCGAGAUGCGACUGCGGAGCCUCUCCAAGACAUCUUGUAGGGUCCCGGGCGGAGUUAAGGACGCUAUAAAUCUUCGCCAAGCAACGCCCGUUGAGUUGACUGAAUUAUUUAUCGAACUUUAACGCAAUUUCAACUUCUGUGCUCAGCCCGAGGGCAAAUAGAUAUUGGAACCUCUUUGAAAACUUCUUCCCGACCAAAGGAAUACUCAAGGAUUACUAGCAACAUAUUAAUACGAGUAUGUUAGUUCUUCGCAACACGUGAAGUUGAAAGUUUGAAUUGUCAUAAAUUGUAUUUGAUGGAAUUUGGUUAGAAAAAGGAACAAAUUAAAUGUCAUUUCGGACGACAGCGCGUCAGGUGCACAUGUUGGACGGAAAUCAGUCGAGCGUCCUUCGUCCUUCCGUCCAUUCAGGAGAUUAUAAAUGUGGCGCUCGUGCAUUCGGGCGGUAAAUAAACAACGCAAACAGUCGAACUAAAGAGACAAAUGUGAAAUGCACACGCUAAUUGAAUGUUUAAUUCGGUUGUCAGUGUCACAGUUUAUAAAUGAUUGCAAACCCCACAUAAUCAAUAUACGUUUUGUUUGUUUGGCUGCAUACAGACAAACAAUAUAUAUUGUUUUUGAUAAUAAUUAUUAAUUGUAUUAAAAUUAAUUACAUUUUGUUUUAAAAAUGGGUUUUAAUGUAAUGUAGAAAAAUAUUGUUAUUAUUAUACAUUGGAUGAAUACAAUAAUAGCGUUGUUUAUAUAUUAUUAAUAAUGUAUUUAAAAUUAGCGUUCAUAUUUUACUAAAACUGUUGUAAAGACAAAAGUAUUUUUAAUUGAUGUGAGUAUUUUUAUGUAUUUAAAUUUUGGUAGCAACUCUAUAUUCGGGUGGAAAAAGUAUCUUUUGAGUUUGUGUAGUCAAUCAUAGAGGGCGAUGUACAAUGUUAUUGUUUACUUGAAAUUUUUUAAAUAAAUGAUGUUUGGCAAAA